GCUCCCCACUUUCCAUAGCCAAAAUUGGGAAGGAGAGGUAGAGAGAGAACGAAGAGGCGAAACUAUUUGGUUGUCUUCCAAUCUUCUUCCCUUUCGAUCACCCAGUCUUCUUCUCUGUUGUCGUUAAACAUGGAACACGCAGGUUCCUUUCAUAGGAUUAUUUUUGAUCAUCAUGUUAAUCUUGGUGAUGUUCUACAUGAUUUUGAUAUCCGGAUUGGUUCCCAGGAAAAUCAAUCACAAAUUUUUGGGAACAAAACCAAAUUACAGGCUGCCAAUGUCAUUUCAUUUUUGACAGAGAGUUCAGGCAUAUACACCCAGGUCAUGGUAAUCCAGUUCAAGCUUGAUUUUAGAUGAUGAAAUUCUGGCAUCAAACAAAAGCAGCGUCUUUCUGAUUAUCAGUUGGUGUCGAAACUUUAUCCCACUUUACUUUUGCUGCGGCAUAAUAUGACUACUGAGAGCUUUUGAGCAGCCAGGAUUGUAUGAACUAUGAAACACAUAUUCCUAUGCAACUUUCUGCGGCGGAAAAUGACAUUUACGUAUUAAUGGCAUUUGAAGUCUAAGGCGGGAGUAGAUCGGGACACUGUAAUGGUGUAUCUUAUCCCUAUCGAUGUCAGAACACACCAAUGUGAGCUAAGUGAAAGUUUUGCUAUGGGACAUAAAGUGGCUUGCUAUCAGUUUCAAUAAAAUCUACCAAGGGAGUCAUACUGAACUGUAGAAAAAAGGAACACAAAGUUGGGGUAUUGUGAUUAUGAAAUUCUUUUUUCAACUAAUGUAAUCACGAACAUUCUGGAUUAUGAUAUUAAGCUCUAUAUUUUGCAAGGUGUUUCAAUCUAUCACUUUUGGUUUUCCCAUUCACAUGUCCAAAUGGGUUAGGAUUAAAAAAGAAUUUCACUUUGCUCGAGCUAUGUCCUAUAUACCAUGGUGGAUACUGGAAUUUCGUCCAAAUGGGUAAGGAUUAAAAAAGAAUUUCACUUUGCUCGAGCUAUAUCCUAUAUACCAUGGUGGAUACUGGAAUUUCGGGAACUUCCUGACAUUUGUUUAGUCUUUCUCAAUUAAUUUUUCUUUUCUUUA